rnacentral:rRNA from 1 species
AGUGAACGCUGGCGGUAGGCCUAACACAUGCAAGUCGAACGGCAGCACAGUAAGAGCUUGCUCUUACGGGUGGCGAGUGGCGGACGGGUGAGGAAUACAUCGGAAUCUACUUUUUCGUGGGGGAUAACGUCGGGAAACUUACGCUAAUACCGCAUACGACCUACGGGUGAAAGCAGGGGAUCUUCGGACCUUGCGCGAUUGAAUGAGCCGAUGUCGGAUUAGCUAGUUGGCGGGGUAAAGGCCCACCAAGGCGACGAUCCGUAGCUGGUCUGAGAGGAUGAUCAGACACACUGGAACUGAGACACGGUCCAGACUCCUACGGGAGGACGCAGUGGGGAAUAUUGGACAAUGGGGGCAAGCCUGAUCCAGCCAUACCGCGUGGGUGAAGAAGGACUUCGGGUUGUAAAGCCCUUUUGUUGGGAAAGAAAAGCAGCAGGUUAAUACCCCGCUGUUCUGACGGUACCCAAAGAAUAAGCACCGGCUAACUUCGUG